rnacentral:rRNA from 1 species
GAUCUCAAAUCAAGUGAGGAUACCCGCUGAAUUUAAGCAUAUUAAUAAGCGGAGGAAAAGAAACUAACAAGGAUUUCCAUAGUAACGGCGAGUGAAGUGGAAUUAGCUCAAAUUUAAAAUCUAUUAUUCUGUAAUAGAAUUGUAAUUUUUGAAUAUGUAAUCAAUUGUUAAUUAUGAAUGAAAAUCUCUUGGAAAAGAGUAUCAAAGAAGGUGAUAAUCCUGUGAAUCAUUUAUAAUUAAUAAUUAUAUGUUUAUAUGUUUUAGAGUCGGGUUGUUUGGGAAUGCAAUCUUAAAUGGGUGGUAUAUCUCAUCUAAAGCUAAAUAUUAACAAGAGACCGAUAGCAAACAAGUACCGUGAGGGAAAGGUGAAAAGAACUUUGAAAAGAGAGUGAAAAGUACUUGAAAUUGUUUACAGGGAAACGCUUUAAUCCUUUAUUCUAUUUAUUCAAUUGCUGAUUUAUUUAUGAUUAUUAUUUUCUAUGAUUUCGUAAGUUUUAUAUUGAGUAUUAUGAAGUAAAUACUUUGGUAUUUUGAAUGAAAAGACGCAACAUCAAUUAUAAUCAAUUUAAAAUAAUUUUAUGGAGGUAGUGUUCGUUUCUUGGAACAAACAUGAAACAUAAUUUCUAUAAAUUGAAUAUAAUUGGCAUGUCAAAUUUAUGCCUCUAGGCUGUAAAGUAAGUGAUAUUUUAUAUAAAUGAUGAAGACUUCAAAGAAGUGUUUGUUAUUUAUGUUUUAUAUUUAUUUAUUAAUAAAAUAAAUUAAUGAUUGUUGCGAUAAAGAGUUAAAUCGACCCGUCUUGAAACACGGACCAAGGAGUCUAACAUGUAUACGAGUAUAUAAGUUUUAAAACUUUUAUGCAUAAUGAAAGUAAGAUGGUAAGAAUAUUCUUUAUGAAUAUGCAUUAUCGAUCAAUCUGGAUCCUUGAGUGAAAGAAUUGAAUAGAAGUAUAUAUGAUAGGACCCGAAAGAUGGUGAACUAUACUUGAGUAGAACGAAGACAGAGGAAACUCUGUUGGAGGUUCGAAGGGGUUCUGACGUGCAAAUCGAUCUUCAAACUUGAGUAUAGGGGCGAAAGACUAAUCGAACCAUCUAGUAGCUGGUUCCCUCCGAAAUUUCCCUCAGGAUAGCUGC